AGCAAACAGCCAGAGUUUGGGAGAAACAGGAGAGGCCAGGUCAUUAAACUGACCACCUGCUUGCCUUAAGGUUUCUCCUCAAAGCUGUAUCACGUUGUUGUUAUUUGUGACUACACAAACAUGUUAAAGACCAUCCAAGGGCAUCAACAGAUUAGCACACAGUGAUGGGACUGCUACGUCAUGCAUAGGGAGCUAUGAGACACAGACUGUCCAAGCCAACUGAGUGGAGUGGAAUGGGAAAUGAAAAUGAAUGCAGAAGAAGGGAGGUGGGCUGAUCUUCUGGAUGGAAAACAAAUGAUCAGAGGGGGAGGCAACCAUGCAUGCCGCUCAAAAAGCCAAAUCUGCCUAAAGGGCUAUAACGAUUGGUGACUCCUAACUUAAGCUACAGGCAGGAUCAAUGAUAAUACAGAUAUGCACGCACAAACUCUUCGUUAUCAGACAAGAAGGUGGACUAUUUUUCCUGCUGUAGAAAGGCAACAACUGGAGAAAGUGACUACAGGAAGAAAAGAGCAGUUCGUUAAUUUCACUUCCCUACUUUUGGAUAGCACAAGUGACAUUUACAAGACUCCAUUGCUCCAAAGCACCCCUAAAAGUCAGCUUUUGCUACAGUAGUCAGAACUUGACAAGAAAGCUCUUGUUUGGCUUGGAGAAGCAAAGACAGUCUUCGUUACACCAAAUUGGGCAGACCACAUCCAAGCAAGCUAAGUUGCAGGUACCUCCUGGUAAAUCCAGUCAUCAUCUCCAUUAGCGUAAAUCUUUCCUAGUGUUCCUUAUUUGUAAAUGUAAAGCAAACAACAACAACAACAAAAUCAGACUCCUCCUGGAAGUGUUUAACCAAACUAUGAUCACCCACGUGUCACUCCUUCCGUUCACCCCUCCCCCACAAUUACUAACUAAAUAGUUUCAAUGGCCUAAGGCUCCUGCCAGGAGAGCCCAAAAUAUCUGUUAAUCUCUUUCUCCUCCACUUACCUGAAAAAGCAGAAUAAAAUGUACUCUA